rnacentral:misc_RNA from 1 species
GGAAUUAAAAGUCGUAACAAGGUCUCCGUUGGUGAACCAGCGGAGGGAUCAUUAUCGAGUUUAUAACUCCCAAACCCUAUGUGAACUUACCACUUGUUGCUUCGGCGCGCGCUUCGGCGCCGCCGAGGACACUUAAACUCUUUGUUUUUAUAAGCAUUUCUGAGUGGCCGAAAGGCAAAAUACAAAUGAAUCAAAACUUUCAACAACGGAUCUCUUGGUUCUG